GUAAUCGUGGCCGAGUGGUUAAGGCUAUGGACUUAAAAUCCAUUGGGGUUUCCCUGCACAAGUUAGAAUCCUGUUGAUUAUG